GACGAACGCUGGCGGCGUGCUUAACACAUGCAAGUCGAACGGAAAGGCCUGCUUUCCCUUGUGGAUUGCGGGUACUCGAGUGUCGAACGGGUUAGUAACCCGUUAGUGAUCUUCCCCCAACUUGGGUAUAAGCCUGGGAAACUGGGUCUUAUUCCCGCUAGGACUUCAUGGUUGUGCCUGUGGUGGAAAACGAUUUUCUAUUGGUUGGUGCUGGGUUCGCGUCCUAUUAGGUUGUUAGUGGGGUAAUGGCCUACUAAGGUGGCGACGGGUAGCUGGCCUGGGAGGGUGGACGGCCACAUUGGGAAUGAGAUACGGCCCAGAGGCCUACGGGAGGAAGGAGUGGGGAAUAAUGGACAAUGGGCGGAAGCAUGAUGCAGCGACGCCGCGUGGGGGAUGACGGCCUGCGGGGUGUAAACUCCUGUCGACCGCGAGGAAGCCACCUGGUUGGAAGGGUGGUGACGGUAGUGGUAGAAGAAGCACCGGCUAACUACGUG
rnacentral:rRNA from 1 species